rnacentral:rRNA from 1 species
CGACGAAUCUUCCGCAAUGGGCGAAAGCCUGACGGAGCAAUGCCGCGUGUGGGAUGAAGCGGCUACGCCGUGUAAACCACUGUCAGGUGAUAAAAACACUGAUUGUCACCAGAGGAAGGGCCGGCUAACCCUGUGCCAGCAGCCGCGGUAAGACAGGGGGCCCGAGCGUUAAUCGGAAUCACUGGGCUUAAAGGGUGCGUAGGCGGAUCAGCAAGUGUUUCGUGAAAACCCCCGGCUCAACCGGGGAAUUGCGGGGCAAACUGCUGAUCUUGAGGGAAGUAUGGGCGGACAGAACUAUCGGUGGAGCGGUGAAAUGCGUAGAUAUCGAUAGGAAUGCCGAUGGCGAAGGCGGUCCGCUGGGCUUCUCCUGACGCUCAGGCACGAAAGCGUGGGGAGCAAACAGGAUUAGAUACCCGCGUAGUCC